rnacentral:lncRNA from 1 species
UGUGAGUGGACGUUUGUUUUAUAAAUGAAUUUUAUGCAGUAAAAAUUUUAUUAAUUGAUCUUGCAUGAAUUAUUUAUGAUUUUUGCUUUCCAAGCAUACAGUUUGAAUUCAAAUGCUUUUAUAAAAAUUUUUUUAUGAUAAAAUGUGAAUGGCUUGGAAAGUAGAAAAGGAAAUCAUAACAGGAUUUAAAGAUUGAGUGAGAAACAGUAUUAUAAUUUUCCUCACAAGGAGCAGACUCUGUUUCGG